GGAGAGGUGGCCGAGUGGCUUAAGGUGCACGACUGGAAAUCGUGUGUGCUGAAAGGCACCGGGGGUUCGAAUCCCCCUCUCUCCG
rnacentral:tRNA from 1 species